rnacentral:rRNA from 1 species
GAACGGGUGAGUAACGCGUGAGGAACCUGCCUCAAAGAGGGGGACAACAGUUGGAAACGACUGCUAAUACCGCAUAAGCCCACGGUGCCGCAUGGCACAGAGGGAAAAGGAGCAAUCCGCUUUGAGAUGGCCUCGCGUCCGAUUAGCUAGUUGGUGAGGUAACGGCCCACCAAGGCAACGAUCGGUAGCCGGACUGAGAGGUCGAACGGCCACAUUGGGACUGAGACACGGCCCAGACUCCUACGGGAGGCAGCAUG